AUACUUACCUGGACGGGGUCGACGGCAUCAAGAAGAGUCGUGGCCUAGGCUAGUGGUCCACAUUAUACUUGGUGGAUGCGUUGGCCUACCAUCUACUCAAGUGGGAGAGUGGACGUUGUAUUUUGUGGUAGAGGAGGUAUUCUCUA
rnacentral:snRNA from 2 species